rnacentral:rRNA from 1 species
CACGUAGGGCGCAAGCGUUGUCCGGAAUCAUUGGGCGUAAAGAGCUCGUAGGCGGUUUGUCACGUCUGCUGUGAAAACUCGGGGCUUAACCCCGAGCUUGCAGUGGAUACGGGCAGACUAGAGGUAGGUAGGGGAGAAUGGAAUUCCCGGUGUAGCGGUGAAAUGCGCAGAUAUCAGGAGGAACACCCGUGGCGAAAGCGGCUCUCUGGGACGGUACUGACGCUGAGACGCGAAAGCGUGGGGAGCGAACAGG